rnacentral:rRNA from 1 species
UACGUAGGGGCAAGCGUUAUCCGGAUUUACUGGGUGUAAAGGGAGCGCAGACGGAACUGCAAGUCUGAUGUGAAAGCCCGGGGCUCAACCGCGGGACUGCAUCGGAUACUGUAGAUCUGGAGUGCCGGAGGGGCAAGCGGAAUUCCUGGUGUAGCGGUGAAAUGCGUAGAUAUCAGGAGGAACACCAAUGGCGAAGGCAGGUCUCUGGGCAGUUACUGACACUGAGGCACGAAAGCGUGGGGAGCAAACAGGAUUAGA